AACGGAGCGGGGGCUUAGGCCGGCUGCUGCGGGUCACUCGUCCGUGCGUGCCUUCAUUCCCUCCCUCGUUCUUUGAGCUGACUCAGGAAUUGAGAUGAGUUGUCUGGAUCCUAGAAUGAGUCUGGAGAUGGUGAAGAGAUUGACUAGCAAGGAGCAGCUUUCUUUGUGGAAUCUCAGGCCUUUCUUCUGACCCGUUUAGGGAUUAAGAGAACAAGGCAAAAUGCCAGUUGGUCCCAUCUCACUGAGGCAGACAGCACCCUCCAGUGGAAAUGAAGACGAGCGCUCCUCGUGGACCUCGCUGGCCCCAACCCUAUUGAACGCAUUGUUGCCAUUCCCCUGUGAGGUUGUAGUCAGAUGAGAGUCAGCCGAGUCCGCUGAAAUUCUGAGACCAAAUAACACAAGGAGUGCUAGUUCUUAUGAAGAGCUGACUUAUUAUCUAAAUUGUAAUCCUUUUACUAUGCUCCAAAGCAGUUUCCUGGUUGAGAAAAAAUAAUGGAGGAGAGAACGGGAGCUAUAAAAAAUGGGAAAUGUUUUGUUAUUGCUCUUUCAGCCCCACCCCCAGAACACUGAUUCAGCUUUGGCCAGUGGAAAGGAAUUCGUAAGUGGAUGUGGUGUAGACAUUUUUAACAAGAGAAAAUUAAUUUCUUCUGAACUGUAAAACGUUGGACAGUAGCUCAGGAAUAUGACUUUGUCCAGUCAGCUUAGGCGCUCAUGUGCUUAGGAUCAAGACAGAACAGGGGUGUGUGUGUCAGGGUUGGGGUGACAGCCAUAGCUCAGGUCAUCAUGUCCCAGGGCCUGGGAUGCUGCAGUGCACACACCAGUACCAUCUGCCCUCCCAGGAGGAAAAUUGGGAUCCUCUGACCAAUUGUAUUGUGAGUUUCAGAAUAUUCAAUUUCGCUUAGCUAUUUAAAAAUGUCAAGAUUUAAGAGACCCUAAAUGACGUGGAUAAAGUUAAAAUGCUUUAAAUGACGUAAGAUGUUGAAACUCAGGGGCUACCUUUCUCCCCCUCUAAAUAGGAAGGAUGGCAAGUUGGGGGGAAGUGACCCUGUGUUACUUUUUAGAAUCCUCUAGGUGGUGCUGCUGUGACAGCUAUGGGCUGGAAAUUGUUAGUACUUAACCAUCAAACCAAAUAUUUAACUUAUUAAGUGUCCUAUACUUAUGGUUAAUUGCUAGUAGGAUACUACUGAUAAUUUAUGCCAUCAUAUUUACAUUAUAUUCUCCUAACAUACAUUGCAUAACAGAGUAAUUUCAAGAGUUGGAAUACAUGUGCUUCUCUGGUUAUUACUGAAUAAAAUUAAAGCUUUCCUGUGUGUCUUAAUUCUUCCACGCAUUAAAACUGGUGACAGGAUUAGCUCUUCUUUACCUCUGCUUGUGUUGGCCAGUGUAGGACAGUUCCUUGUACAUAGUAGAUGCUAAGUUAAUGUUUAAGAAUUGACUUGUUUUUCUCUUUUUAUGACUUAUUGGAGAUGAGAUGACUAACUGGAUUAAGCUUUUAAAAACCCUAGUCAGACAUUGCUGCAUAUAUUUGCUAGUAAAAAGAUUAGGAGGCCAUUUUUCCUUUAUUUCUGAAAAUGGCCUAAGGUUUAUAUAUAUAUUAAAAAAAUCACUUAUUUUAAAAGCAAAUUGGUUUUCAGGUUGGUUCCAUUUGAAGUGCAGGAAAUGGUUGGAAAAACUGUGUUUGAUAAUCGCUCAAAUCUUAAUCAAGAUUUUAUUAAAAUCAAUAUUUGA